rnacentral:rRNA from 1 species
AUUGAACGCUGGCGGCAUGCCUUACACAUGCAAGUCGAACGGCAGCGGGGGCUUCGGCCUGCCGGCGAGUGGCGAACGGGUGAGUAAUGCAUCGGAACGUGCCCUGAAGUGGGGGAUAACGCAUCGAAAGAUGUGCUAAUACCGCAUAUUCUCUGAGGAGGAAAGUAGGGGAUCGAAAGACCUUAUGCUUUUGGAGCGGCCGAUGUCUGAUUAGCUAGUUGGUAGGGUAAUGGCUUACCAAGGCGACGAUCAGUAGUUGGUCUGAGAGGACGACCAGCCACACUGGGACUGAGACACGGCCCAGACUCCUACGGGAGGCAGCAGUGGGGAAUUUUGGACAAUGGGCGCAAGCCUGAUCCAGCAAUGCCGCGUGAGUGAAGAAGGCCUCGGGUUGUAAGUACGUCUUUC